rfam:Myxococcales bacterium SG8_38_1 WOR_8-12_8573, whole genome shotgun sequence.
UUCGGUGGCAAUGUCGACAGGGUCACACCCGAUCCCAUCCCGAACUCGGAAGUUAAGCCUGUCAGAGCCGAUGGUACUGCAGCGGAAGCGCUGUGGGAGAGUAGGACGCUGCGCGUGA